rnacentral:rRNA from 1 species
UGGCUCAGGACGAACGCUGGCGGCGUGCCUAAUACAUGCAAGUCGAACGAACUCUGGUAUUGAUUGGUGCUUGCAUCAUGAUUUACAUUUGAGUGAGUGGCGAACUGGUGAGUAACACGUGGGAAACCUGCCCAGAAGCGGGGGAUAACACCUGGAAACAGCGCGAUGCCUAAUACCGCAUAACAACUUGGACCGCAUGGUCCGAGCUUGAAAGAUGGCUUCGGCUAUCACUUUUGGAUGGUCCCGCGGCGUAUUAGCUAGAUGGUGGGGUAACGGCUCACCAUGGCAAUGAUACGUAGCCGACCUGAGAGGGUAAUCGGCCACAUUGGGACUGAGACACGGCCCAAACUCCUACGGGAGGCAGCAGUAGGGAAUCUUCCACAAUGGACGAAAGUCUGAUGGAGCAACGCCGCGUGAGUGAAGAAGGGUUUCGGCUCGUAAAACUCUGUUGUUAAAGAAGAACAUAUCUGAGAGUAACUGUUCAGGUAUUGACGGUAUUUAACCAGAAAGCCACGGCUAACUACGUGCCAGCAGCCGCGGUAAUACGUAGGUGGCAAGCGUUGUCCGGAAUUAUUGGGCGUAAAGCGAGCGCAGGCGGUUUUUUAAGUCUGAUGUGAAAGCCCUUCGGCUCAACCGAAGAAGUGCAUCGGCAAACUGGGAAACUUGAGUGCAGAAGAGGACAGUGGAACUCCAUGUGUAGCGGUGAAAUGCGUAGAUAUAUGGAAGAACACCAGUGGCGAAGGCGGCUGGUCGUGGUCUGUAACUGACGCUGAGGCUCGAAAGUAUGGGUAGCAAACAGGAUUAGAUACCCUGGUAGUCCAUACCGUAAACGAUGAAUGCUAAGAAGUGUUGGAGGGUUUCCGCCCUUCAGUGCUGCAGCUAACGCAUUAAGCAUUCC